rnacentral:rRNA from 1 species
AUUGAACGCUGGCGGCAGGCCUCACACAUGCACGUCGAACGAGUGGCGGACGGGUGAGUAAUGCCUGGGAAUCUGCCCGAUGGGGGGGGAUAACUACUGGAAACCGUAGCUAAUACCGCACACCCGCGGCUGUCCCCAGAUGGGAUUCGCUAGUAGGGGGGGUAACGGCUCACCUAUGCGACGAUCCCUAGCUGGUCUGAGAGGAUGACCAGCCACUGUGGAAAUGAGACACGGUCCAGACUCCUACGGGAGGCAGCAGUGGGGAAUAUGGCACAAUGGGCGCAAGUCUGAUGCAGCCAUGCCGCGUGUAUGAAGAAGGCCUUCGGGUUGUAAAGUAAUUUCAGCGUGGAGGCGUUACUCGCAGAAGAAGCACCGGCUAACGCCGUGCCAGCAGCCGCGGUAAUAC